UGGGGAAUUUUGGACAAUGGGCGCAAGCCUGAUCCAGCAAUGCCGCGUGCAGGAUGAAGGCCUUCGGGUUGUAAACUGCUUUUGUACGGAACGAAAAGCCUCUCUCUAAUACAGGGGGGUGAUGACGGUACCGUAAGAAUAAGCACCGGCUAACUACGUGCCAGCAGCCGCGGUAAUACGUAGGGUGCAAGCGUUAAUCGGAAUUACUGGGCGUAAAGCGUGCGCAGGCGGUUUUGUAAGACAGUGGUGAAAUCCCCGGGCUCAACCUGGGAACUGCCAUUGUGACUGCAAGGCUGGAGUGCGGCAGAGGGGGGAUGGAAUUCCGCGUGUAGCAGUGAAAUGCGUAGAUAUGCGGAGGAACACCGAUGGCGAAGGCAAUCCCCUGGGCCUGCACUGACGCUCAUGCACGAAAGCGUGGGGAGCAAACAGGAUUAGAUAGCCCUGGUAGUCCACGCCCUAAAACGAUGUCAACUGGUUGUUGGGGAUUUAUUUCCUUCAGUAACGAAGCUAACGCGUGAAGUUGACCGCCUGGGGGAGUACGG
rnacentral:rRNA from 1 species